GAUGAACGCUGGCGGCGUGCUUAACACAUGCAAGUCGAACGAAGCAUUUGCGACAGAUUUUUUCGGAAUGAAGUUGCUUAUGACUGAGUGGCGGACGGGUGAGUAACGCGUGGGUAACCUGCCUUGUACUGGGGGAUAGCAGCUGGAAACGGCUGGUAAUACCGCAUAAGCGCACAAUGUUGCAUGACAUGGUGUGAAAAACUCCGGCGGUAUAAGAUGGACCCGCGUCUGAUUAGCUAGUUGGUGAGAUAACAGCCCACCAAGGCGACGAUCAGUAGCCGACCUGAGAGGGUGACCGGCCACAUUGGGACUGGGACACGGCCCAGACUGCUACGGGAGGCAGCAGUGGGGAAUAUUGCACAAUGGAGGAAACUCUGAUGCAGCGACGCCGCGUGAGUGAAGAAGUAAUUCGUUAUGUAAAGCUCUAUCAGCAGGGAAGAUAGUGACGGUACCUGACUAAGAAGCUCCGGCUAAAUACGU
rnacentral:rRNA from 1 species